AUGGGUAGGACUGCCAGCACCCAAAGGAUCACCUUCGAGGCAGAUGAGAAUGAGAACAUCACCGUGGUGAAGGGCAUCCGGGUUUUGGAAAACGUGAUUGAUGGAAUAAAGAAAUCCUCUCCAUCUGGCUCGAAGUCUCAGUGGUAUUCUGGUGCUUAUGGUGCCUCAGUUUCUGAUGAAGAAUUGAAAAGAAGAGUAGCUGAGGAGCUGGCAUUGGAGCAAGCCAAGAAAGAAUCUGAAGAUCAGAAACGACUAAAGUAAGUCAAAGAGCUGGACCGAGAGAGGGCUGCUGCCAAUCAGCAGUUAACCAGAGCCAUCCUUCGGGAGAGGGUAUCAAGCGAGGAGGAACACGCUAAGACAAAGCACCUGGCUAGGCAGCUGGAAGAGAAAGACCGAGUGCUCAAGAAGCAGGAUGCAUUCUGCAAAGAGCAGCUGGCUAGACUGAAGGAGAGGAGCUCAGAGCUCUACAAAGUCACCACUGAAUGAUAUCAGAAAGCUGCUGAAGAGGUGGAAGCAAAGUUCAAGCGAUAUGAGUCUCAUUCAGUCUGUGCCGAUCUGCAGGCCCAAAUUCUUCAGUGUUACUGUGAGAACACCCACCAGACCCCCAAAUGCUCCGCUCUGGCCAGCCAGUAUAUGCACUGUGUCAAUCAUGCCAAGCGAGCAUGCUUGAGAAGGAAGGAUAAAAACUUGGAACAAGCAAAACACUGUUAA